AACGAACGCUGGCGGCAUGCCUAACACAUGCAAGUCGAACGAGACCUUCGGGUCUAGUGGCGCACGGGUGCGUAACGCGUGGGAACCUGCCCUUAGGUUCGGAAUAACUCCCCGAAAUGGGUGCUAAUACCGGAUAAUGUCUUCGGACCAAAGAUUUAUCGCCUUUGGGUGGGCCCGCGUUGGAUUAGCUAGUUGGUAGGGUAAAAGCCUACCAAGGCGACGAUCCAUAGCUGGUCAGAGAGGAUGAUCAGCCACACUGGGACUGAGACACGGCCCAGACUACUACGGGAGGCAGCAGUGGGGAAUAUUGGACAAUGGGCGAAAGCCUGAUCCAGCAAUGCCGCGUGAGUGAUGAAGGCCUUAGGGUUGUAAAGCUCUUUUACCCGGGAUGAUAAUGACAGUACCGGGAGAAUAAGCUCCGGCUAACUCCGUG
rnacentral:rRNA from 1 species